rnacentral:rRNA from 1 species
UAAUACAUGCAAGUCGAGCGGAUUGAUGGGAGCUUGCUCCCUGAUAUCAGCGGCGGACGGGUGAGUAACACGUGGGUAACCUGCCUGUAAGACUGGGAUAACUCCGGGAAACCGGGGCUAAUACCGGAUAACUCAUUUCCUCGCAUGAGGAAAUGUUGAAAGGUGGCUUUUAGCUACCACUUACAGAUGGACCCGCGGCGCAUUAGCUAGUUGGUGAGGUAACGGCUCACCAAGGCGACGAUGCGUAGCCGACCUGAGAGGGUGAUCGGCCACACUGGGACUGAGACACGGCCCAGACUCCUACGGGAGGCAGCAGUAGGGAAUCUUCCGCAAUGGACGAAAGUCUGACGGAGCAACGCCGCGUGAGUGAUGAAGGUUUUCGGAUCGUAAAGCUCUGUUGUUAGGGAAGAACAAGUGCCGUUCGAAUAGGGCGGCACCUUGACGGUACCUAACCAGAAAGCCACGGCUAACUACGUGCCAGCAGCCGCGGUAAUAC